rnacentral:rRNA from 1 species
UACGUAUGGUGCAAGCGUUAUCCGGAUUUACUGGGUGUAAAGGGAGCGCAGGCGGCACGGCAAGCCUGAUGUGAAAGCCCGCGGCCCAACCGCGGGACUGCAUUGGGAACUACCGGGCUGGAGUGCCGGAGAGGUAGGCGGAAUUCCAGGUGUAGGAGUGAAAUCCGUAGAUAUCUGGAGGAACAUCAGUGGCGAAGGCGGCCACCUGGGCCGGUAUUGACGCUGAGGCGCGAAAGCGUGGGGAGCAAACAGG